rnacentral:rRNA from 1 species
AUUGAACGCUGGCGGCAGGCCUAACACAUGCAAGUCGAGCGGAUGAAGGCCGCUUGCUCCUGGAUUCAGGGGCGGCCGGGGGAGUAAUGCCUAGGAAUCUGCCUGGCAGUGGGGGAUAAAGUCCGGGAACGGGAGCUAAUACGGCAUACGUCCUGAGGGGGACAGUGGGGGAUCUUCGGACCCCACGCUAUCAGAUGAGCCUAGGUCGGAUUAGCUAGUUGGUGGGGUAAAGGCCUACCAAGGCGACGAUCCGUAACUGGUCUGAGAGGAUGACCGGUCACACUGGAACUGAGACACGGUCCAGACUCCUACGGGAGGCAGCAGUGGGGAAUAUUGGACAAUGGGCGAAAGCCGGAUCCAGCCAUGCCGCGUGUUUGAAGAAGGUCUUCGGAUUGUAAAGCACUUUAAGUUGGGAGGAAGGGCAGUAAGUUAAUACCUUGCUGUUUUGACGUUACCAACAGAAUAAGCACCGCCUAACUUCGUG